rnacentral:rRNA from 1 species
CACGUAAGAAUCUACCUUUUGGCGAGGGACAACCACUGGAAACGGUGGCUAAUACCUCAUAUAACUGAGAAGUGAAAGAUGAAAAUCACCAAGAGAUGAGCUUGCGUCUGAUUAGCUAGUUGGUAAGGUAAAGGCUUACCAAGGCGACGAUCAGUAGCUGGUCUGAGAGGAUGAUCAGCCACACUGGGACUGAGACACGGCCCAGACUCCUACGGGAGGCAGCAGUGGGGAAUAUUGCACAAUGGGGGAAACCCUGAUGCAGCCAUGCCGCGUGUGUGAAGAAGGCCUCGGUUGUAAGCA